CAGACUUUACUCAGGAUGAUAGGGACAGAGUAAAGGGACAAUGUAGGUGAUUAAAUAGCUAAUCCCACUAGGGGACUGUAAGUA